rnacentral:rRNA from 1 species
GGCUCAGGAUGAACGCUAGCGGCAGGCCUAAUACAUGCAAGUCGAACGGGUGGUAGCAAUACCACUAGUGGCGCACGGGUGCGUAACGCGUAACCAACCUGCCCUGAACUGGGGGAUAGCCCGCCGAAAGGCGGAUUAAUACCGCAUAAACCAACAGCMUGGCAUCAGGUAMUUGGUAAAGAUUUAUUGGUUCAGGAUGGGGUUGCGUGACAUUAGCUAGAUGGCGGGGUAACGGCUCACCAUGGCGACGAUGUCUAGGGGACCUGAGAGGGUGAUCCCCCACACUGGCACUGAGAUACGGGCCAGACUCCUACGGGAGGCAGCAGUAGGGAAUAUUGGGCAAUGGGCGAGAGCCUGACCCAGCCAUGCCGCGUGCAGGAUGAAGGCCUUCUGGGUUGUAAACUGCUUUUCUCAGGGAAGAAAAAGGGCAUGCGUGCUCAACUGACGGUAC